ACUUGAAGGUAUAUUUGUAAGCAAUAAGAAAAUAAGCCAUUUUUGUGCUCUACUUUUUGUGUUGAUGGUUCCCGGCUUUGAAAGUAGGUCAUACUAUUUGAGCCCAAAAUGGUUGUCUGCACAGCUGUCAAAACCGGUUUGCCUAUUCUAAGGCCAUACUGGUUCAGGCCAUACUGGUUCAGGUCAUACUGGUUCAGGCCAUACUUGUUUUGCCAGAAUUGUAUCAGUUUCAAGUUCGUGUCAGAUGGGACCCUAACACGAUCCGGUUCCACUGCUGGAGAAGUAUGGCGCAACGUUUACGGAUGCCAUGAAGAUUGCUCAAUUUAGCCGUUCCGUUGAGACUGAAAAUCGUUGCAUAUUAAAGAACUUG